rnacentral:rRNA from 1 species
UACGUAGGGCGCAAGCGUUGUCCGGAAUUAUUGGGCGUAAAGAGCUCGUAGGCGGUCUGUCGCGUCGGCUGUGAAAGCCCGGGGCUCAACCCCGGGCCUGCAGUCGAUACGGGCAGACUAGAGUGUGGCAGGGGAGACUGGAAUUCCUGGUGUAGCGGUGGAAUGCGCAGAUAUCAGGAGGAACACCGGUGGCGAAGGCGGGUCUCUGGGCCAUAACUGACGCUGAGGAGUGAAAGCGUGGGGAGCGAACAGG